UGCAGUAGGAGAUGCUGAAAAUCUUAGCAAAGCCACUAUUUGCCGCACCGUCAGAAGUGUGUAUUUGGCAUUAAAAGGAUAUACGCACAUCUUCAUAACCUUCCCCGGCCACAGAAGAAUGAACUAUAUCAAGGAGGGAUUCUACAACAUUGCAGGUAACAUGAAUUAGGCUACACGUCACAAAAGAAACUUUAGAACAGGUGGAAUACUUUUCUUUCCUUUUUUGAUACAGGAUUCCCUAAUGUUAUUGGUGCGCUGGACUGCACACAUAUUAGGAUAAAACACCCCUCUGGUGCACAUGAAGGUGAUUUUGUUAACAGAAAAUCCUUUCAUAGUAUCAAUGUUCAGAUGAUCUGUGAUGCUGACUGCAUCUUCAGCAAUAUCGAGGCAAAGUGGCCUGGCUCAGUCCAUGACUCCCGAGUCUUUCGGGCCUCUGCAAUUAACCAGCGACUAUCACAAGGUGAAUUCUCUGGUGUGCUGCUGGGAGACAAGGGUUAUGCCUGUCAGACAUUUUUACUUACACCCUUUGCAGACCCCCAGACAGCAGCACAAUGCACAUAUAAUCUUGGCAAUGCAAGAACAAGGGCCCGAAUAGAAAUGGCAUUUGGCCUUCUUAAGUCCCGUUUCCAGUGCCUUCACCACCUGAGGGUCACCCCAGACAGGGCCUGUGAUAUCACUGUUGCAUGCG